rnacentral:rRNA from 1 species
GGGCGAACGGGUGAGUAAUGUAUCGGAACGUACCUUUCAGUGGGGGAUAACGUAGCGAAAGUUACGCUAAUACCGCAUAUUCUGUGAGCAGGAAAGCAGGGGAUCGCAAGACCUUGCGCUGAUUGAGCGGCCGAUAUCAGAUUAGCUAGUUGGUGAGGUAAAGGCUCACCAAGGCGACGAUCUGUAGCGGGUCUGAGAGGAUGAUCCGCCACACUGGAACUGAGACACGGUCCAGACUCCUACGGGAGGCAGCAGUGGGGAAUUUUGGACAAUGGGGGCAACCCUGAUCCAGCCAUGCCGCGUGAGUGAAGAAGGCCUUCGGGUUGUAAAGCUCUUUCGGCCGGGAAGAAAUCGCAUGGGUUAAUACCCUGUGCGGAUGACGGUACCGGCAUAAGAAGCACCGGCUAACUACGUGCCAGCAGCCGCGGUAAUACGUAGGGUGCGAGCGUUAAUCGGAAUUACUGGGCGUAAAGCGUGCGCAGGCGGUUUUUUAAGACAGGCGUGAAAUCCCCGGGCUCAACCUGGGAACUGCGCUUGUGACUGGAAGGCUAGAGUAUGGCAGAGGGGGGUGGAAUUCCACGUGUAGCAGUGAAAUGCGUAGAGAUGUGGAGGAACACCAAUGGCGAAGGCAGCCCCCUGGGCCAAUACUGACGCUCAUGCACGAAAGCGUGGGUAGCAAACAGGAUUAGAUACCCUGGUAGUCCACGCCCUAAACGAUGUCAACUAGGUGUUGGGUGGGUAAAACCAUUUAGUACCGGAGCUAACGCGUGAAGUUGACCGCCUGGGGAGUACGGCCGCAAGGUUAAAACUCAAAGGAAUUGACGGGGACCCGCACAAGCGGUGGAUGAUGUGGAUUAAUUCGAUGCAACGCGAAAAACCUUACCUACCCUUGACAUGUCCAGGAGCCUGAAGAGAUUUGGGUGUGCCCGAAAGGGAACUGGAACACAGGUGCUGCAUGGCUGUCGUCAGCUCGUGUCGUGAGAUGUUGGGUUAAGUCCCGCAACGAGCGCAACCCUUGUCGUUAAUUGCCAUCAUUUAGUUGGGCACUUUAACGAGACUGCCGGUGACAAACCGGAGGAAGGUGGGGAUGACGUCAAGUCCUCAUGGCCCUUAUGGGUAGGGCUUCACACGUCAUACAAUGGUCGGUACAAAGGGUUGCCAAGCCGCGAGGUGGAGCCAAUCCCAGAAAGCCGAUCGUAGUCCGGAUCGCAGGCUGCAACUCGCCUGCGUGAAGUCGGAAUCGCUAGUAAUCGUGGAUCAGCAUGUCACGGUGAAUACGUUCCCGGGUCUUGUACACACCGCCCGUCACACCAUGGGAGCGGGUUCCGCCAGAAGUAGGUAGCCUAACCGCAAGGAGGGCGCUUACCACGGCGGGGUUCGUGACUGGGGUGAAGUCGAAACAAGGUA